GGAAAAUGUUUUUCUCGUCUUAGUCUUUGUAUUUAUCUGGUAAAAGUCACUUGCUCUUUUUGUUUGUGUGGUUUCAAAACUCAGACUAUGAUAUGAUAUUUAAACUUGUGGUUGCUUCUGAGAUGGAUUAAAGGAGAUGAACUGAACACUGUUAUCUCAUGAUGUUGAGGUUCUGAGAUAAAACUUCUGCCAUUAGGUAUUAUAAGAUUUUUAGUGAGAGAGAUUCAUAGAGGUGGUUGUGUCUCAGGUUGGUUGUAACAUCCUGAAAGCUUCAUAAGUAUCAUCUUGAAGGUGAUUGUCAGAAUAAUAAUCUGAUUCAUUAGCAUAGUAGUUUGGAUUCAUUAAAACAUGUUGCAAUAUUGCACAGAAAAUGGGGGGUUUUUUGUACUUAUGUAUGGACUGUGUUUUUCAAUACAAGUGAAUGGGUUUAUAUUAAUUUCAUAUGGCUAUAAAUGUUA
rnacentral:sRNA from 1 species